UUCAACAGUGUUCUUAGAGGCAGCCACACCUCAGCAAGGUCUUUCUAACUUGGGACGGCAGAGUUCAAAGGAACUAAUAGACACAAACUGCAAAAGAGUCCUGAACCAAGUCAGGAGGUGAAGCUUUACAGUGCCAUCGCCCUCUGAAGCCCCUUGAAACACGGGAUACUACAUAAGAGAGAAAAAAAGGGAAUGGACCAUCUUCUAGAACACCUGGAAUGUGAUCCAAGCCUGGAGACAAAAUGAUGAUAAAAGUGAGCAAAGAAAUAGUCUCAGAAAGACCCUCUGAAAAAGUGGAGACUUCACCAACAGGGAACCACAGCUGAUUGACAAUGAAAAACCAUUAGCAAGAAUGAAACUCCAGAAGCUCCGUCCAUUACAUAUGAAGGCCACUAGGCCUCAGGAUCUCCAUUAUGCAUCUUUCCCAGGGUUGCAGCUAGAAGACAGUAAAACUAGCAAUGGAGCCCUUAUAUGAAGAAUAUCUAGCAAAUCGUGGAACAAUAGUAAAACCUUAUUACUGGCUAAGCUUCUCUCUAGAUUGCUCUAACUGUCCUUACCAUAUUCGGACAGGUGAAGAAGCAAGAGUUCCCUAUACAGAAUUUUAUCAGAUUUUUGGAUUCCCUUAUGGGCCAGUGUGCCCUCAAACAAAGCACCUCACAUUUUAUGAACUAAAAACUUCUUCUGGAAGCCUGGUGCAGAAGGGCCAUGCUAGCAGUUGCACGGGGAAUAAUACCCAUCCAGAAUCAAUGUUAUUUGAGAUGAAUGGUUAUUUUGACUCAGCCGUACACAACAACAACACAAUCAGGCAUAUCAUUCUGUAUUCCAACAACUCCCCUUGUAACGAAGCCAACCACUGCUGCAUUGGCAAAAUGUACAAUUUCUUAAUAACGUAUCCAGAUGUUACUCUUAGCAUUUACUUUUCUCAGCUCUAUCAUACUGAGCCUGAAUUUCCUGCCUCGGCCUGGAACCGUGAAGCUCUCCGGAGCCUGGCCAGUUUAUGGCCCCGGGUCACUUUGAGCCCAAUAAGUGGUGGAAUUUGGUAUUCUCUCCUCAACAACUUUGUGAGUGGUGUCUCCGGAUCAAUUGUUUUCCAGCCCAUUUUAACUGGGAGAGCUUUGGCUGACAGGCACAACGCCUAUGAAAUCAAUGCCAUAACGGGAGUGAAACCUUAUUUCACUGAUGUUCUUCCCCAGACAGAAGAGAAUCAGAACAUAAAAGCUCAGGUGGCUUUAGAGAGCUACCUCAUUAACAAGAUCAUUCCUGGACAGUCUUUGCAAGUGACAAAUGGACAACCACAACCCAAUCUGACCCCAGACCUCAAGGUUCCUGUUGUUUUUGUCCUGGUACCUUUCAGAGACCUACCACCAAUACACGUGGGUCAAAGCCCACAUAAGCCGAGCUAUAUCGUGAGGCACUUAAAUAUGCCUCAAAUGUCAUUCCAGGAAACCAAGGACCUCAGAAGCCCUCCCAUGGGAAUGCCAGUGGACGGAGUGGAAAUCACGGAGCAGUUUGCACGUAGCAAAGAGGUAGAUGAAAAGAAGAAGAAGAAAGGAAAGAAAUAAAAUCUGUAUUUCUAAGACAUGAGACCAAACAACACCAGAAAACUAAUUUGAUAGCAAACAAAAAUCUGGAAAUUUUCUCUCUUAGGUCUGAUCCAAGGUGGGAGAUUAACGGAUACAUAAGAGCAAAACCCGAAUUAUUUGCCAUCUCAACUAUUAUAAAGCUAUGCUACUUUUAACAUAAAACAAGAUGUUUCCAUAAGCAACUUGACCUCUCUCCUUUAUUUUGAAAGUGACAGUAUCAAAAUGGAGCCAUUAGCAUCUUGCUAAUAUUUUAUUGGUGUGGAAAAGGAAAUGUCAUUAUCCUAGUCUACCUACAUCAUCUUUCCACCAAAAAAAGCCCAUGGACUAAACAGCUUCCUAAAUUGGUUUCAGUAUAAAAAUUUACUGUAAAAUUGGAAAACAGCCUGAAGUUACUGACAUUAAGUGCUGUCUGUAAAAGGAAACCAGUGAUUUUCCAUUAAUUGUUAAUCAUGGACAGAAGAAUUUAGGCAGCCCAUUUUUUUCUAAAGUGGUUCAAAAUAGCUUUGUGUGGAAAAAAAAAAACAGCUCUUUUGUUCAUUGAUUAUAUAUAGCUAUGAAGAUUGAUUUUUGAAACUUAGUCACCUGCUCAAUGGGAUUUUUCCCAGCUCAGGUUUCUCCUUCCUGAGCAGAUGAUAGAAGCAGGAUGAUACAUGAGACCCUGCAAAGGCUUCUUCCAACACACACCAUAUAAAAUCCAAGCUGCUUCUACUGACUUCGAGGCUCCUCCUCUACCUUCCAGUUGCCUGGUCUCAUCAGCAAGAUUGUAAGCUUCUACAGGUCAAGCACGGUCUCCCUCCCCUCUUUGGAUUUCCCUUGGAAUUUAGCCAAGUAUCCAGGUGGGCAACUGGGCUAAUGGCAUUAGCAAAUCUGAGAGGUUGGAGAACCAGCUCUGAAUAUUGUUGUCAGGUUGGCUGAUGUCCUGCAGCAGUUGAGAAGGACCUGCCCAUCUUAGAAGACUUUUCAAAAAAAAAAAAAAAGUAUAUCCAAGUAGUUGCCUUGAAAUCUAUUUACAAAGUGGUCAAAAAGACAUAACAU